rnacentral:lncRNA from 1 species
CCAUGUAAGGAAACUUCCUAUUCCUUUACAAGUAACAAUUCCUCUCCAGCUAAAACAAUUUAAUUUAAUGGAAAGCAUCAUUUAUCUUCAACAAGAUAUUCAAUUUCCUUUUCCAAGCCCAUCUUACACACACAAUCACAGUAGACAACCUCUUUGUAAGAAACUUCAUAACCUAACCUAUUGAUGUAAGUCUUGACACACGUCUUGAACUACCUCAUGUAUACUUCAUGAACUACAUCAGAACAUCUCAGGAAAUUACAUCUUAAAUCCCCCUCUUUUUAACUAUGCAUGUGAACUCAACAACUCAAGCAUCAAGCUGCAUCUUCAAUCUCCGCCUUUGAGUCUCAUCAUGGUCAAAAGCUAAUAUGAAGAUGAUUGCCAUCCUCCGUACUGAGGAUAAAAUCAUUUUCCACCAUCUCCAUAGUGAUCAGACCUUCCAGACCACAUAUUCAUGAGCCUUAUCCCUCUAUGAUUAGCUCCAUGACAAGAAUCAAAACCAUCACACGCCAAACAUGACGUUGAACUCCACAAUAACAUAUUGGAUUAUGAAACUUCAUACCAUAUGUUUGUGCUAUCUGAUGCUUCUCCCUCAAUAACUUGAAACACCUUUUCCUAAUAUGCCCAAUAACUCCACAACGAUGACAAACAUGUAUGAAAGCUCGUCGAGGUGCACUCUUCACUUCUGGAGUUAUCC